UACAGAGGGGGCAAGCGUUGUUCGGAAUUACUGGGCGUAAAGGGCGCGUAGGCGGCCUUCUAAGUCGAACGUGAAAUCCCCGGGCUCAACCCGGGAACUGCGUCCGAUACUGGAAGGCUUGAAUCCGGGAGAGGGAUGCGGAAUUCCAGGUGUAGCGGUGAAAUGCGUAGAUAUCGUUUGGAACGCCAAUGGUGAAAACAGGUCGCUGGGGAUGAGCUGACGCUGAGACACGAAAGCCAGGGGAGCAAACGGG
rnacentral:rRNA from 1 species